rnacentral:rRNA from 1 species
UACGUAGGUGGCAAGCGUUGUCCGGAUUUACUGGGCGUAAAGAGCGCGCAGGCGGUUAUUCAAGUACGCAAUGUGAAAGCCCCCGGCUUAACUGGGGAGGGUCAUUCGAUACUGUUUAACUUGAAGGCAGGAGAGGUAGUGGAAUUCCCGGUGUAGUGGUGAAAUGCGUAGAUAUCGGGAGGAACACCCGUAGCGAAGGCGGUUCUCUGGGCCGGUACUGACGCUGAGGAGCGAAAAGCGUGGGUAGCAAACAGG